AAUCCACGAGACCCAUACGACAGGUGCUGCAUGGUUGUCGUCAGCUCGUGUCGUGAGAUGUACGGUUAAGUCCGUGAACGAGCGCAACCCCUGCCCUUAGUUGCUAAUAUGCGAAAGCAUAUGCACUCUAAGGGGACCGCCAGCGGAAAGCUGGAGGAAGGUGGGGAUGACGUCAAAUCCUCAUGGCCUUUAUGUCCAGGGCUACACACAUGCGACAAUGGUCGAGACAACGCGUUGCAAACCAGUAAUGGUAAGCUAAUCGCAUAAAAUCGACCUCAGUACGGAUUGAGGGUUGCAAUUCACCCUCAUGAAGCUGGAGUUGCUAGUAACCGCAGGGUCAGCUAUACUGCGAUGAAUACGGUUCCCGGGCUU
rnacentral:rRNA from 1 species